GGGUCGAAGUUUUACAUCUUUCUUGAGCUUGUAACCAAAUGGUCUCUUCUAAACCUUUACCAACAUUACCCGCUUCUGGACUCUGUAGUCUCCAAUUACACAAGACAGAUUCUUGAUGGGACAUCAACUGUGCAAAUAUACUGGUGGAAGCUAAUGGCAACGUCAAACUUGCGGAUUUCGGAUUGGCAAAGGAGUCAAAGUUAAACGACAUUAAGUCCUGCAAGGGAACUUCAGUUUGGAUGGCUCCGGAGGUAAUUGAUUUGGGAUCCUUCCCACUGUUUUGAUUGUGUGAAUACAAUGAAAGACAAACGUCUCAUUCAGGAAUAGCAAUGUUGGAUGUUGUACUGUUGUAAUGUUGGAUGCUAUACUGUUGCUUAACACACAUCCCCCACCCAUGUUUCCUUCAGAGUUUUGAGUAUUUGAUUAAAUUUCCUGUAUUUCGGUUUAUGGUGUUUAUAACUGUAAAUAUGUUUGUGUAAUCACAGAUAAUUUGGAUUUUUUCCACUUUGAUU